AAAUUGAAGAGUUUGAUCAUGGCUCAGAUUGAACGCUGGCGGCAGGCCUAACACAUGCAAGUCGAACGGUAGCACAGAGAGCUUGCUCUCGGGUGACGAGUGGCGGACGGGUGAGUAAUGUCUGGGAAACUGCCUGAUGGAGGGGGAUAACUAUGGAGGGGGAUAACUA
rnacentral:rRNA from 1 species